CUGCACCGCCUUCGGCUUCACCAGGAGGUAGUACGCGUAGACGGCCGCUGCGAACCGGACCGGGUUGUCGGUCCCCUUCGUGUGCCGGAAGACCGCCUCCAUCUGCGCGGCUCCCGCGAGAAGCCGCUCCACGCGGACCCCCGCGGCGGCGAGCGGGAAGAGCCCCACCGGCGAGAGGACGGAGAAGCGGCCGCCCACGUUCGGCGGAACGGCGUAGCUUUUCAGCCCCUCCGCGUCCGCCAUCCGGCGGAAGACCCCCCUCGAAGGAUCGGUGACGAGGAUCAGCCGCUCCCUCCAACGGGACCCGACGGCUUUCUUCAACGCGGCGAUCGCGAGCGCAAGCUGGGCGUUCGUCUCCGCCGUCCCGCCCGACUUGCUGAUGGCCACCACGGCGGUCUUCUUCAUCGGGAGCUUUCCCAGGAGGGGGAAGAAGGCGUCGGGAUCGACGUUGUCCCCCACGGAGAGCGCCAUCCCGGGGCGUCCCUCGCCUCCGACCGCUCGUGCACCGCCUUCGUCCCCAGCGCCGAACCGCCGAUGCCGAGGACGAGGAGGUGGGUGCAUUUCGCCCGAAGGGCCGCGGCGUCCCGGGAGAUCGCCCGGGCCUCCUUCUCGAGGAACGGCAGAUCGGGGAAGCCGAUCUCCCCGCGUCGAUGCUUCCCGCGAGCGUUUCCACCGCGUCGUCGACCAUCGCGAUCAUCUUCCGGAAGUCGGCGCGGCGAUCCCGUCGCCUCCCCGAAGGUUGCUCUCUCCCACGAGGGAGAAAUCGAAGCGAAACCGGAUCCCGUCGCCCAUAACGCCCUCCUUGUCCCUACCUGCCCGAUUCCGCGGCCGCCUGACGCCGGUACCAGUCGACGAACAGCGCGACACCGCGCCCGAUCGGCGUGCGCGGGUCGUAGCCGAUCUCCUCCCUGGCGCGGGAGAUGUCCGCGUACGUCACCGGGACGUCCCCGGGCUGCGGCGGUUUGAAAUUCCGAACGGCGGCCUUCCCGCAGGCCGUCUCGAUCAGCCCGACCAGGUCCGAAAGGGAGAUCGUGGCCGACUCGCCGAGGUUAUAGACCCGGUACCCCGGGGGCGCGGUCAGGGCGCCGAGGACCCCGGAGACGACGUCUUCGAUAUAGGUGUAAUCCCUCCGGGAGGAGCCGUCGCCGUACAGGUCGAUCCCCUUCCCGUCCAGGAUCCGGCGGGUGAACUUGUGGAUCGCCAUCUCGGGGCGCUGGCGGGGACCGUACACGGUGAAGAAGCGCAGGGCCGCGACGUUCAUCCCGUACAGGUGGCAGUACGUGUGGCAGAGAAGCUCGCCCGCCUUCUUCGUCGCAGCGUAGGGACUCACCGGGUGAUCGACGAAGUCGUCCUCGGAGAAGGGAACCUUCGUAUUUCCGCCGUAGACGGACGAGGAAGAUGCGAAGAGAAUUUUCGGAACCUUCCGCUCCCGGGCCCACUCGAGGAUCCGGAUCGUGCCGUGGAUGUUCACGUCCGCGUAGCCGACGGGAUCGGCGACCGAGGGGUGCACCCCGGCCUUCGCGGCCAGGUGGAUCAGCGCGUCCGCAGGGAUCCCCUCCCCCCAGCGGGAGAGGGCGGAGGCGUCGCGGAUAUCCCCCUCGAGGAAGGAGAACGAAGGGUGCGCUAAAGCUUUGCCAGGUUGCGCUCUUUGAUCCUCCGGUCGUAGAACGGGUCGAAGUUGUCGAUCCCGUGGACCCGGUCUCCGCGGGCGAGAAGCGCUUCCGUUACAAGCGAACCGAUGAAGCCGGCGACGCCGGUGACGAACACGUUCAGGGGCACGCUGGACCUCCCGGGUUACACCACCCCCUCGUUUCUCCAUCAAUACUAUCCCAGAAGCG
rnacentral:misc_RNA from 1 species